rnacentral:rRNA from 1 species
UACAGAGGGUGCGAGCGUUGUUCGGAAUUAUUGGGCGUAAAGGGCGCGUAGGCGGUGCGGUAAGUCACCCGUGAAAUCUCCUGGCUCAACUGGGAGCUUGCAGGCGAAACUGCCGUGCUGGAGUGUGGGAGAGGUGCGUGGAAUUCCUGGUGUAGCGGUGAAAUGCGUAGAUAUCAGGAGGAACACCUGUGGCGAAAGCGGCGCACUGGACCACAACUGACGCUGAGGCGCGAAAGCUAGGGGAGCAAACAGG